rnacentral:rRNA from 1 species
GACGAACGCUGGCGGCAGGCCUAACACAUGCAAGUCGAACGAGUGGCGGACGGGUGAGUAAUGUCUGGGAAACUGCCUGAUGGAGGGGGAUAACUACUGGACACGGUAGCUAAUACCGCAUACCAUCGGAUGUGCCCAGAUGGGAUUAGCUAGUAGGUGGGGUAAAGGCUCACCUAGGCGACGAUCCCUAGCUGGUCUGAGCGGAUGACCAGCAACACGGGAAAUGAGAAACGGUCCAGACUCCUACGGGAGGCAGAAGGGGGGAAUAUUGCAAAAUGGGCGAAAGCCUGAUGAAGCUAUUCCGCGUGUAUGAAGAAGGCCUUCGGGUUGUAAAGUACUUUCAGCGGGGAGGCGUGACCCGCAGAAGAAGCACCGGCUAACUACGUGCCAGCAGCCGCGGUAAUUC